rnacentral:rRNA from 1 species
GAGCGAAUGGAUUAAGAGCUUGCUCUUAUGAAGUUAGCGGCGGACGGGUGAGUAACACGUGGGUAACCUACCCAUAAGACUGGGAUAACUCCGGGAAACCGGGGCUAAUACCGGAUAAUAUUUUGAACUGCAUAGUUCGAAAUUGAAAGGCGGCUUCGGCUGUCACUUAUGGAUGGACCCGCGUCGCAUUAGCUAGUUGGUGAGGUAACGGCUCACCAAGGCAACGAUGCGUAGCCGACCUGAGAGGGUGAUCGGCCACACUGGGACUGAGACACGGCCCAGACUCCUACGGGAGGCAGCAGUAGGGAAUCUUCCGCAAUGGACGAAAGUCUGACGGAGCAACGCCGCGUGAGUGAUGAAGGCUUUCGGGUCGUAAAACUCUGUUGUUAGGGAAGAACAAGUGCUAGUUGAAUAAGCUGGCACCUUGACGGUACCUAACCAGAAAGCCACGGCUAACUACGUGCCAGCAGCCGCGGUAAUACGUAGGUGGCAAGCGUUAUCCGGAAUUAUUGGGCGUAAAGCGCGCGCAGGUGGUUUCUUAAGUCUGAUGUGAAAGCCCACGGCUCAACCGUGGAGGGUCAUUGGAAACUGGGAGACUUGAGUGCA